rnacentral:rRNA from 1 species
UACGAAGGGGGCUAGCGUUGCUCGGAAUUACUGGGCGUAAAGGGCGCGUAGGCGGAUAGUUUAGUCAGAGGUGAAAGCCCAGGGCUCAACCUUGGAAUUGCCUUUGAUACUGGCUAUCUUGAGUUCGGGAGAGGUGAGUGGAAUGCCGAGUGUAGAGGUGAAAUUCGUAGAUAUUCGGCGGAACACCAGUGGCGAAGGCGACUCACUGGCCCGAUACUGACGCUGAGGAGCGAAAGCAUGGGGAGCGAACAGG